rnacentral:rRNA from 1 species
CCUACGGGUGGCAGUAGUGGGGAAUAUUGCACAAUGGGGGGAACCCUGAUGCAGCAAUGCCGCGUGAAGGAUGAAGGUUUUCGGAUUGUAAACUUCUUUUGUACGGGACGAAGAAAGCGACGGUACCGGAAGAAUCAGCCACGGCUAACUACGUGCCAGCCGCGGCGGUAAGACGGAGGUGGCAAGCGUUAUGCGGAUUUACGGGGUGGAAAGGGGGAGUAGGCGGGAUUGGAAGUCAGGUGUGAACACGAUGGGCUCAACCGGUGGAGUGCAUUUGAAACUGAAGUGCUUGAGUGAUGGAGAGGCAGGCGGAAUUCCCGGUGUAGCGGUGGAAUGCGUAGAUAUCGGGAGGAACACCAGUGGCGAAGGCGGUCUGCUGGACAUUAACUGACGCUGAGGCGCGAAAGCGUGGGGAGCAAACGGGAUUAGAUACCCUUGUAGUC